GCGCAAUUUGCGAUAUGUCGCAUACUUAAAUAUUAAAAAAAAAAUUCCUAAAUUCUUUCUUUCAAUUUAUUUCAAAUGUGAUGUAAUGCAAUUACGUAAAUGAUGCAUUCUUCUAAAAUAACCACUUCUCUGUGGUUUUGGUUUUCAUUUUAUGCGAUUGUUUAUUCUUUCGAUUCAGAUGAACCUGUUACCGAAAGCGGAGAACUUUACGAACUUGAUUUUGGUGACCUUGAUAUCAGAGUGGGAAGAAUUUUUUGGGUAGAUGUUCAUAUAAACGAUUUAGGGCAUUUUCACAUGAAAGUGGAUUUUAAUAAUAGUAUCAAGUUGACUUGUGUGUGCGAAAUAGCGACUUACUUGAGGGUGGAAGACUUCAGAAAUCGUUUAUGUGUUUUCAUUAUCAACGUAAAACCUCUCAAAAUUAUGGGUCCUAUAACUCAAGCAAUGAUUUUAUCUACUGUGGUAGAUGAUUGGUGGCUCAAUGUCAUUGAUCCUCCCGAGGGUAGCGUAGAGGGUGAUAUCGUUUAUGUUGAAGGAUACGAAUACGAACCUCUUCCUGAAAUCGAUACCUCGAAGUCAAAUUUCUGGAAAUUAAUGUCUUUCAUGAGAGUGAACGAAGAAGGUGUCGUAACCUAUAAAAACAUAUCUUUGAAUGUUGCUGGAAAAGGACCCGCAACUACGGAAAAUCUCAAUAAUAUCGAAUUAAGGAAUGAGUUUUAAAAUUUUAAUAAACGUUUACACGUGCAUUUUUUUCAAUCAUUCGCCGAAUUCUGUUCUUUUUUUAUAUCACAAUGCUCAAGGAUUACAACUACCUACUUGAUAGCUUUUUAAAAUUAGUAUUUGGUACCUACUUAAAAAAUACAGUUCUGUUAAUCUUUAGAAAUGCUUUCUUUCAUUUUUCUGGUCAAAAGUACAAUAGGUAUACCUACUUGGAGUUGAGAAAGAAUCUCUUUAUUCGUUACCAACGCAGAUUGGUGUUGUGCAACUUUAAAUUCUUCUAUACUUUUUUUCAAUUCGAAGCUUACCUAUUUCAGUCAUUUUUCUAUUAAAAAGUAUUACAGUACGUGUUGGCUCAAGAAAUGGGCUACAUUUUCCAGAAAAAAUUGGAAAUCUCCUUCCCCUUUAUAAACUAUAGGCACCUACUUAUAUUCAAAGAGAAAUUUCAGUCCUUUAAAUCAAUAAAACCUGUUAGGUAGUAAUUUUCGAUAUUAAAUCGAUGAUUUUAGAUUAGGUAACUAUUUAAUCAAUAAUAAUAUUCUCAGUAACUCAAUUCAAGUUGCAAAAAAGGAUGACGUUGAAAGAAAACUUCAAUUUUUUGUGUUUUUUGUUUUGUGUAACAAGUUUAUCGUAUGGUCAAAAUGAACAGAAAGAAACAGAAGUUGGUUUUGGUUUACUUGAUAUAAGAAUAGGAAAAAUUGUGCGUGUAGAAAACAUUCCUCAAACGAGUGACUAUUAUCAGUUGAAAGUUCGGUUUGGUGAUAUGCCAGUUAGAACCAUCGUUAGUGGUUUGGCGGAAAUCAUGAAGAUAGACGAGUUUGAAGGCCGUCUAACGCCUUUUUUACUGAACAUAGAUCCUCAGAACAUAUAUAAUAUCAGUUCUCAUGGUUCGGUCUUGUACACUCAAGGCCCUGAUAGUGAAGAAGGCUAUACAAUGACCGAGUUGUUGAAUCCUCCUUUAGGAGCUCAACCAAACGAUGUGGUUUUGAUUGAAGGAAUAAAUUACGAGCCUAAAACGUCUUUGGAUUUUGCCACGACAGAAAAAAUUUUCCAAGAUUUGACUAUUGAUAUGAACAGAAUUGCCAAAUAUCAGAGAAAGAAAUAUUUGAAUGUCAGUGGCAAAGGAAUUUUGCUGUCAACAUACGUGAAAGCUGCCCCUAUCAUAUGUGAAAGCUGUCCUAAUAAUCCUGGCUUGAAAAAAGAAUUCAUUGUAAAAAAGAAAAACAUUAAGGAGCUUAAUGAAUUGUUCAAUUUAUAACUGAACAAGGUUUGCUUUUUUGUUUAUUUUAAUCUCGUAUGAAUUAUUAUUAUUUAGGCUAUUAAGUAUUUAUUUAUGUAUUGUUGUUGCUGCUUUUUUAUUUUUUUGUUCUUCAAUUUUUUUGUUUGUUUGAAAUUAGUACCUACAAUUUUUAAUUGAUUAGUAACUACAUAAUUAAUGGCGUAGGUAAAUAUCCAAUUGUAAAUUUAAUAUCACUUGCUUCAUUUUACAUUUUUUUUAAGUUUAAAAAAACAUGCAAAAGUUUUCAGAAAAAAUAAAUUAGGCUGUGCCACUGUU